CGAAAGAUUGAUUCAGUUACUUAUUAAGAUGAUAUAUACUUUUAAUAAAAAAAAUAUUUUUUAUUAUAAAUAAAUAUAUAAAUUGAUUAAAAAUAAAGUCUAUAAAUAAUUAAAAUAAUGAUAUUAAUUACAUUCUUUAAUGGGAUGAUAUAAUAUUUUAUAUUAUAUUUUAAUAGUCCUAACCAAAAUUUGUGCCAGCAGCUGCGGUAAUACAAUGAGGGCUAGCGUUAAUCAUAAUGGUUUAAAGUAUCCGUAGAAUGAUAAAAUAAAAUUUUAUUAGAGUUAAUAAAUUUAAUUAAAGAAUUAUGAUAGUAAAGAUGAAAUAAUAAUGAUAAUCAUAAGACUGGUAUGUGUGAAAAUAUUAAUUAAAUAUUAACUGACAUUGAGGGAUGAAAGCUAGAGUAGCAAUAUGGAUUCGAUACCCAAGUAGUUCUAGCAGUAAACUAUGAACACCAUAAUUUAUACAUAAUAUAAAUUAUAAACGAAAGUGUAAGUGUUCCACCUGAAGAGUACUUUCGCAAGAAUGAAACUCAAGACAAUAGACGGUUACAGACUUAAGCAGUGGAGCAU
rnacentral:rRNA from 1 species